GUUCCUGUAGCGCAGUGGGUAGCGCUUUGAACUUCUAAUCCAAAGGUCGUGGGUUCGAAAUCCCACCUGGGAUG